UACGAAGGGGGCUAGCGUUGCUCGGAAUCACUGGGCGUAAAGGGUGCGUAGGCGGGUUUUUAAGUCAGAGGUGAAAUCCUGGAGCUCAACUCCAGAACUGCCUUUGAUACUGAAGAUCUUGAGUUCGGGAGAGGUGAGUGGAACUGCGAGUGUAGAGGUGAAAUUCGUAGAUAUUCGCAAGAACACCAGUGGCGAAGGCGGCUCACUGGCCCGAUACUGACGCUGAGGCACGAAGGCGUGGGGAGCAAACAGG
rnacentral:rRNA from 1 species